rnacentral:rRNA from 1 species
AACGAACGCUGGCGGCAUGCCUAACACAUGCAAGUCGAACGAGACCUUCGGGCCUAGUGGCUCACUCGUGCGUAACGCGUUGGAACCUGCCUUUAUAAUCGGACUAACUCCCCGGAAUAAGUGCUAAUACCGGCUACUGUUACCGGACAAAAGAUUUAUCGCCUUUGUAUGGGGCCGCGUUGGAUUAGGUGGUUGGUAGGGUACAAGCCUACCAAGGCGACGGUGCAUAUCUGGUCUGAGAGGAUGACCAGCCACAAUUGGACUGAGACACGGCCCAGUCUGCGACGGAGCGCAGGAGUAGGGAAUAUUGGACGAUGAACGAUGGCGUGACACAGCCAUGCCGCGUGAGAGAGGAAGCGCUUAGGGUUGUACAGCUCUUUUACAAGAAAUGAUAAUGACAGUACCGGGAGAAUAAGCUCCGGCUAACUCCGUG